GAUGAACGCUGGCGGCGUGCUUAACACAUGCAAGUCGAACGAUGAAGCCCAGCUUGCUGGGUGGAUUAGUGUCGAACGGGUGAGUAACACGUGAGUAACCUGCCCUUAACUCUGGGAUAAGCCUGGGAAACUGGGUCUAAUACCGGAUAGGAGCGUCCACCGCACGGUGGGUGUUGGAAAGAUUUAUCGGUUUUGGAUGGACUCGCGGCCUAUCAGCUUGUUGGUGAGGUAAUGGCUCACCAAGGCGACGACGGGUAGCCGGCCUGAGAGGGUGACCGGCCACACUGGGACUGAGACACGGCCCAGACUCCUACGGGAGGCAGCAGUGGGGAAUAUUGCACAAUGGGCGCAAGCCUGAUGCAGCGACGCCGCGUGAGGGAUGACGGCCUUCGGGUUGUAAACCUCUUUCAGUAGGGAAGAAGCGAAAGUGACGGUACCUGCAGAAGAAGCACCGGCUAACUACGUG
rnacentral:rRNA from 1 species